rnacentral:rRNA from 1 species
CGGCAGCGGACCUUCGGGUGCCGGCGAGUGGCGAACGGGUGAGUAAAGCAUCGGAACGUACCCUAGAGUGGGGGAUAACUAUCCGAAAGGAUAGCUAAUACCGCAUAUUCUAUGAGUAGGAAAGCGGGGGAUCUUCGGACCUCGCGCUCUAGGAGCGGCCGAUGUCAGAUUAGCUAGUUGGUGGGGUAAAGGCCUACCAAGGCGACGAUCUGUAGCGGGUCUGAGAGGAUGAUCCGCCACACUGGGACUGAGACACGGCCCAGACUCCUACGGGAGGCAGCAGUGAGGAAUUUUGGACAAUGGGGGCAACCCUGAUCCAGCCAUGCCGCGUGAGUGAAGAAGGCCUUCGGGUUGUAAAGCUCUUUCGGCCGGGAAGAAAUCGCACGGGCUAAUACCUUGUGUGGAUGACGGUACCGGAAUAAGAAGCACCGGCUAACUACGUGCCAGCAGCCGCGGUAAUACGUAGGGUGCGAGCGUUAAUCGGAAUUACUGGGCGUAAAGCGUGCGCAGGCGG